CCUACGGGUGGCUGCAGUGAGGAAUAUUGGUCAAUGGGCGCGAGCCUGAACCAGCCAAGUAGCGUGAAGGAUGACUGCCCUACGGGUUGUAAACUUCUUUUAUAAAGGAAUAAAGUUAGGCACGUGUGCCUUUUUGUAUUUCCUUUAUGAAUAAGGAUCGGCUAACUCCUUUCCAGCCGCCGCGGUAAUACGGAGGAUCCGAGCGUUAUCCGGAUUUAUUGGGUUUAAAGGGAGCGUAGAUGGGUUGUUAAGUCAGUUGUGAAAGUUUGCGUCUCAACCGUAAAAUUGCAAUUGAUACUGGCAGCCUUGAGUACAGUUGAGGUAGGCGGAAUGCGUGGGGUAGCGGUGAAAUGCUUAGAUAUCAAGAAGAACUCCGAUUGCGAAGGCAGCCUACUAAACUGCCACUGACAUUGAUGCUCGAAAGUGUGGGUAUCAAACAGGAUUAGAUACCCUUGUAGUC
rnacentral:rRNA from 1 species